GAAAAUAGUUUGUUUGGUUAUUGUCAUGGUCACCCAUAUGUUACAGAAAACUGGUCGAUAAGUCAUUUGUUUCGUUAUACAUUGGUCACAGAAAACUGGUGCAACGGUCAUCGCGACACUUGUUUUGGGUCAUUUGUUUGGUUAUUCAUUGGUCACCACUGCCUAUCGUAUCAGCCAUCCAAAAUAAUUGAAAUUUUUAUUUAAUGUUUUUUAAGUUUACAUGUUUUUAGGUAACAGUUAUAUAUAUCCUUUCUAUUUUUACAAAUUUUCAGAAAUUAUUUAGGAUCAGCUUUUAAAUAUUUACAUUUAUAUAUACAUAUUCUACAGUGAAAUUGAAAGGUGAAUUUUUAAUGUAUACUUUGCAUGUUUUUCGAAUCGGUACAGUUUUUUUCUGUAAGUUGGUUGACUGUUAGUGACAUCUAUGCUAAAUUUUUUUAUUUGAGAUACGCGUUGUUUUGCAAGGCUCUAAAAGAAUAUUCUUCGAUUUUUACUGUCUGAAUUUAUUGAACAAAGAAGUGCGAUAAUGCACCAUCUCAUACUGCAUUGGUUAUUCGUAAUCAUUUCGCCACAUUUUCAAUUAAUAUCGUUCCGCAACCACCGCAUUCGCUUGAUUUACCUUCGUUUAACUUCUGGCUAUUCAGCAAAUUCACAUGACCACUCCGAGGACAGCACACUUACUGAGGAUAUAAAAGCUGAAGAUUCUCAUGGCCAUCACGACGGAGGAUUUUUCCAAGUGCUCUGAUGACUGGAAAAUUCGUUGACAUAUGUGCUACUGCUUUCAACACAACAUUGUCGUUUGAAUAAGGAAAUGUCGAAUGAGCGUUUGGUACACAACUGUGGUUAACCUUGCUUUGAAGCAGGUAAAGUCCAGCAACCUCAGUGUUGAGAAAUUCGCCCGAGACUUUAAUGAUUACAUACAUAUGUAUACGUGUGAAAUAAUAAUACGAAAUUUAAAUAUAAACUAAUUGUUGUUAACUUACA